CACUACAAGAAAAACCUCAUUUAUUGACGGAAUUUAUCCCUCAAAAAGUGUCAAUUUCCGCUACUAACUACAUAUUUAGUGGCAGAACCAGUCUGCCAGUAAAACGUAUGCCAGUAAAUUUAUUGGCAGAAAUUCCCGCCACAAAAUUCGUCUAAAAGUGUACAGCAGAAUUCCCCAACUUAGUGGCAGAAUAAUCUGCCAGAAAGUGAAAAGCUUAGAAAGUAACUUAUUGCCGGAAGUUUUUGCCGGUAACUGUUUUUAAUUUUUUUUUUCAAAAAUCAAAAAAUGAUUCAGAACCACUCAAUUCCCUGCUGUAUCAGCUCUUUUUUUAAUUUUUUUUAAUAUUUAAAAACUAAAAAUUGAAACGUAUGAAGAAGAAAAAAGUGGAAAGAAAGAAAUCUCAGUCUCAGAUCUCCUUCCGAUCUACUUUCCACCGUCAUGCCACGCUCCUUCCAUCAUAGUUUCGCCGGAAUCGUCCCACCAAUACUAAUCUCUGCUUCAUCGAUGUUGAUACUUGCCCCGUCGAAGUUGCAGAGACGCCGAUUGAAUACGCUGCUCGCCG
rnacentral:lncRNA from 1 species